rfam:Citrus sinensis cultivar Ridge Pineapple sweet orange scaffold00001_contig_115, whole genome shotgun sequence.
AUAUCAUGUGAUGAGGAAUUAACUGCAACAAAAUGAUCGAUUAUCAUCGUGAUUACCGUGUAUUUAAGUCUCUGAUGAUU